AUUGAACGCUGGCGGCAGGCCUAACACAUGCAAGUCGAGCGGAGCGGCGGACGGGUGAGUAAUGCCUAGGAAUCUGCCUGGUAGUGGGGGAUAACGUCCGGAAACGGGCGCUAAUAUCGCAUACUAUCAGAUGAGCCUAGGUCGGAAUAUCUAGUUGGUGGGGUAAAGGCCUACCAAGGCGACGAUCCGUAACUGGGCUGAUAGGAUGAUCAGUCACACGUGAACUGAUCAACGGUCCUGACUCCUACGGGAGGCAGCAGUGGGGAAUAUUGGACAAGGGGCGAAAGCCUGAUCCAGCCAUGCCGCGUGUGUGAAGAAGGUCUUCGGAUUGUAAAGCACUUUAAGUUGGGAGGCGGUAAAAAAAGAAUAAGCACCGGCUAACUUCGUGCCAGCAGCCGCGGUAAUAG
rnacentral:rRNA from 1 species